CGUCCAAUUCCGUGAAAUUUUAAAAUUUCUAGAAGCUAUACAUUCAAUUCUGAAUUCCCUUCAGGAUUAAAUUCACCGAGCACACAAUCUCUAAAAUUCUCCAAAUUCUCUCCUAUCGUCUCACUUUAAAUCUAAUAACUCGACAAUAUUUUCCCAAUUACACAAAAUUCCUUACUCCGCGCGAAACCUCAGAGAGGCGUAAGAACGCGCGAACAGGGUGAAGAGAAUCAUCCCUGUCGAAGUGGAAAAGAUUAACUUCUCGUAACUAACGUUUCAGUCUCCUUCGACGAACCGAUACGCGAGACCAAAGUGAUUAUGCAUCAAAGCGAACCUCUUGAGGUCCGGGGGAUAUCGAAUCGAUAUACGGAACUCCCUUACCCCUCGAGCAACCCUCCACCCACACCAACCACGACCAAGCUCCCCCUGUUCCUGUGAAACGCUACGUGCCUGCCUUUGCUCUCCCCUACCUCGCUAAUCUCAUGAUUGCACUGAUUAACCCCACCUCCCCUCGGCCGAGUCUCUGGCCCAUCUGAUCCCUCAAUCGCCCAGACUCGAUCAUGAUCCAUCUAGUGAGAAUCGACCUGGCACCGGAACGAUCCGAGGAGAGACAACGAACGGCUGGGAACGAACGAGGAAACGCGUCUCGAAUUGGCCUCCAGACGUGGGAGCGGAAUGUGUGGUUAUGAGGGUGUAGCGGAAUUGGUUAGGGAGAUUUUGCGUAGCAUAUCAAAACAACGAUCCACGCGAAAUACGGGAAAAGACGUCAAGUAAAAACGUCAACAGAGGAAACAAGGCGACGUGACAAAUGGAUGAUCAAUAACAGGCAAAUUACGUGUACGGAUCAUUGUUGACCGAAUGAAGCACCGCGUGACAACGAGAGCAACGCGGACGAUAAUCGAUGAGCGGCGUUGCAUUCACCUUGCAGAAUGGAAAGCCUUCGAAUCGGGGACGCGAUAAAUCACCGAUGUCUAGCUGUCUUAAAGCAUCGUUCUUAGUUGAUUGACCAAACAUGGUCAUCGCUGGCAGUGUCCAAUAUUUCUCCUUAUAUAUUGUUAUGGAGGUGAAAGUGGAGGGAACCGAAUGGCACGCAAAUUCAAGAGCAAGAAUCCUAUGGAACUUGGAGUCUCAGAAAGAGGUUAGUUGAAUGGAGGAAAUGAAUAAAACUGAUCACGUAGAAUGAAAGAAUGAAUAGAAGGAUUGAAAAAUAGAAGAAUGUCUCACGGAAAAAUAUGUUUGUGAAAAAAUAGACUCGUCAAU